rnacentral:pre_miRNA from 1 species
GAAACUACCAUUGAAUAAAAAAUAGAUGCCUGAUAUAUGACCACGUCUCCACGAGUAAAAAUUUUACUCACAUAUUCAAACAUGAGUAAAAGUUUUUGCUAGGAGUAAAAUUUUUACUUGUGAUGACAUGACCAAAUCUCAGGCGUCUAUUUUAGAUCGAACGGUAGUUUC